AUGUCGUCGUCUUCGUCGACCGUGGUCUAUGAGGGGUGGAUGGUCCGGCAUGGCCGCCGCAAGAUCGGCCGCUCCUUUAUCCACAUGCGCUACUUUGUGCUGGAGACCCGGCUUCUCUCGUAUUUCAAGCGCAAGCCUCAGCACAAGAUGCCCAAGCUCCCCAUCAAGUCCCUCCACAUCGAUGGCAACUGCAGGGUCGAGGACAGGGGCCUCAAGAUGCACCAUGGCCAUAUGCUUUAUGUCUUAAGUGUCUACAACAAAAGGGAGAAGCACCAUCGCAUCACGAUGGCGGCAUUCAAUAUCCAGGAGGCUCUAAUCUGGAAGGAGAAAAUUGAGAUGGUCAUCGAUCAGCAACAAGGUGUAGUGUCGCCCGAUGGUAAUACAGCCUUUAGCUCAUCGCAGCAAAAUGCUGGUGUAGAAAAUGGAAGGAAAUCUUCUUCCUCUGAUCGUGACAGUCAGUAUAGUCAUGAAGAGGAAGAAGAGGAGGAGGACAAUCACCGAUCAUUGAUGCGAAGAACAACAAUUGGGAAUGGUCCUCCGGAAUCAUUGCAUGAUUGGACUCGUGGAAACGAUACAGGAAUAUCUGAUCAGGGAAGCCCUGCCCAAGUUUUCUCUAGAGGACACUGGCGCCUUGUCAGAUGCCAGAAUGGUCUCCGCAUUUUUGAGGAGCUCCAGGAUGUUGAUUACCUUGCAAGGAGCUGUAGCAGAGCAAUGAAGGCUGUUGGAGUUGUUGAGGCUUCGUGUGAGGCUAUAUUUCAGCUUGUGAUGAGCAUGGACACCACCCGCUUUGAGUGGGACUGCAGUUUCCAGUAUGGCAGUCUAGUGGAGGAGGUCGAUGGCCACACAGCAAUACUGUACCAUAGGCUACAACUGGAUUGGUUUUCAGCAUUUACUUGGCCUCGUGAUCUUUGUUAUGUACGAUAUUGGCGGCGUAAUGACGAUGGAAGUUAUGUUGUGCUAUUUCAAUCAAGAGAGCACCCAAACUGUGGUCCACAACCAGGAUUUGUUAGGGCACACAUUGAGAGUGGUGGUUUCAACAUUUCUCCACUGAAAUCCCGUAAUGGGAGAGUCCGAACACAAGUACAGCAUCUUAUGCAGAUUGAUUUGAAGGGUUGGGGGGUUGGCUACUUACCUUCAUUUCAACAACAUAGCCUCCUUCAUAUGUUGAACAGCGUUGCCGGGCUCAGGGAAUGGUUUUCACAAAGUGAUGAAAGUCAAAUACUUCCUAGGAUUCCUGUUAUGGACAAUAUGGCCCUAUCGGUUUCUUCUAAGAAAGGCACAAAAACACAGGAUAAUACUGUGCAAACCAGCCUUCCGGCGGAUGAAAGUAGACAUUCAACGGUUGAGGAGGAGUCUGACGAAGAUGAAGAAUUCCAGUUACCUGAAUCUGAGCUAGAGCCAUCAACUCGUGAGCUCGAUGCAGAUGGUAAACUACUAGGGUUGGAUGAGGAAGAUUCAGGUGAGAUUGAUUUUUCUGGAUUUUCUGGAAAUUUACGCCGGGAUGACCGUGAUAACAGUCGUGAUUGUUGGAGAAUAUCUGAUGGAAAUAACUUCAGAGUGCGAAGCAAGAACUUCAUAUAUGAUAAAAGCAAGGUUCCUGCUGGAAAGCCUCUUAUGGAGCUUGUUGCUGUUGACUGGUUUAAAGACGUGAAACGAAUGGAUCAUGUUGCUAAAAGAAAAGGUUGCGCUGUUCAAGUUGCUGCCGAGAAGGGUCUUUUUUCAUUGGCAAUAAAUCUACAAGGAACCAAGGGUUCGGCUUAUUGCAUAUAUUCCUGCCUAAAUGCUGUCAGAUGGAUUAAGUUUGAUAUAGUAUGCCAUAUAAUAGAGGUUCCUGGCACAACUAACUAUAGUAUGGUUUUCUACUUUGUAUCAAAGAAACUGAUACCGAACUCCUUGUUGCAACGUUUUGUUGAUGGCGAUGAUGAAUUCCGCAAUAGUAGGUUCAAGCUGAUCCCAUCUGUACCGAAGGGCUCAUGGAUUGUCCGCCAAAGUGUUGGCAGCACACCGUGUCUCCUGGGCAAAGCAGUUGACAUCACCUAUAUCCGUGGUGCAAAUUAUUUGGAAAUAGAUGUGGACAUAGGUUCGUCUACGGUGGCAAAUGGAGUCUUGGGGCUUGUGUGUGGCGUGAUCACGACGCUAGUUGUGGACAUGGCUUUUCUUGUCCAGGGCCACACAUACGAGGAGCUCCCGGAACGACUGAUCGGUGCCGUUCGGAUGUCGCACAUAGAACUAUCAUCUGCGGUUGUUCCUGUGCUUGAGGAUUAA
rnacentral:rRNA from 1 species